rnacentral:rRNA from 1 species
AACGAACGCUGGCGGCAUGCCUAACACAUGCAAGUCGAACGAGACCUUCGGGUCUAGUGGCGCACGGGUGCGUAACGCGUGGGAACCUGCCCUUAGGUUCGGAAUAACUCCCCGAAAGGGGUGCUAAUACCGGAUAAUGUCUUCGGACCAAAGAUUUAUCGCCUUUGGAUGGGCCCGCGUUGGAUUAGCUAGUUGGUAGGGUAAAAGCCUACCAAGGCGACGAUCCAUAGCUGGUCUGAGAGGAUGAUCAGCCACACUGGGAAUGAGACACGGCCCAGACUCGUACGGGAGGCAGCAGUGGGGAAUAUUGGACAAUGGGCGAAAGACUGAUCCAGCAAUGCCGCGUGAGAGAUGAAGGCCGUAGGGUUGUAAAGCUCUUUUACCCGGGAUGAUAAUGACAGUACCGGGAGAAUAAGCUCCGGCUAACUACGUG